rnacentral:tRNA from 1 species
GAAGAUGACUUUACUAAUUUGCUAAAUUAGCUAACCCAACAAUAACCUGCUGGCAUCCUC